rnacentral:pre_miRNA from 1 species
CUAAUACUCCCUCCGUUCCAAAAUUCUUGUCUUAAAUUUGUUUAGAUGUGAUUGUAUCUAGUUAAAUUUUAGUAUUUAGAUACAUCCAUUUUUAGACAAAGCUAAAACAAGAAUUUUGGGACGGAGGAAGUAUAAC